GUAGGGGAUAUUGGGCAAUGGGCGGAAGCCUGACCCAGCCAUGCCGCGUGAGGGGAUGAGGCCCUACGGGUCGUGAACCUCUUUUAUGCGGGGACAACGCCCCCCACGAGAUGGGGGAUUGAGGGUACCGCAGGAAUAAGCGCCGGCUAACUCCGUGCCAGCAGCCGCGGUAAUACGGAGGGCGCGAGCGUUAUCCGGAUUCAUUGGGUUUAAAGGGUGCGCAGGCGGCCUGAUAAGUCAGCGGUGAAAUCCCGGGGCCCAACCCCGGAAGUGCCGUUGAUACUGUCGGGCUGGAAUGCGGUCGAGGCGGGCGGAACGUGGCGUGUAGCGGUGAAAUGCGUAGAUAUGCCACAGAACGCCGAUAGCGGAGGCAGCUCGCCAGGCCUGCAUUGACGCUCAGGCACGAAAGCGUGGGGAUCGAACAGGAUUAGAUACCCUUGUAGUCC
rnacentral:rRNA from 1 species